rnacentral:rRNA from 1 species
GACGAACGCUGGCGGCGUGCUUAACACAUGCAAGUCGAACGGAAAGGCCCUGCGUUUGUGGGGUGCUCGAGUGGCGAACGGGUGAGUAACACGUGAGUAACCUGCCCUUGACUUUGGGAUAACUUCAGGAAACUGGGGCUAAUACCGGGUAGGAGCUCCUGCUGCAUGGUGGGGGUUGGAAAGUUUCGGCGGUUGGGGAUGGACUCGCGGCUUAUCAGCUUGUUGGGGGGGUAGUGGCUUACCAAGGCUUUGACGGGUAGCCGGCCUGAGAGGGUGAACGGGCUCAUUAGGACUGCGGUACGGCCCAGACUCCUACGGGACGCAGCAGUGGGGAAUAUUACAGAACGGGCGGACGCCAGAGGCAGCAACGCCCCGUGCGGGAUGCUGGCCUACGGGUUGAAAACAGAUUUCGACUGUGACGAAGCGAGAGUGACGGUAAUGGGUAAAGAAGCACCGGCUAACUACGUG